rnacentral:rRNA from 1 species
GAUGAACGCUUGCUGUGUGCCUAAUACAUGCAUGUCGUACGAGGUCAUUUAUGGCCUAGUGGCGAAUGGGUGAGUAACACGUACCUAACCUACCUUUUAGAUUGGGAUAACUGUUGGAAACAAUAGCUAAUACCGAAUACGUAUGUAGACCGCAUGGUUUUUUAUAAAAGGGGCGUUUGCCCCGCUUGAAGAUGGGGGGUGCGUCAUAUUAGCUAGUUGGUAGGGUAAAGGCCUACCAAGGCGAUGAUAUGUAGCCGGAUUGAGAAGUUGAUCGGCCACACUGGGACUGAGAUACGGCCCAGACUCCUACGGGAGGCAGCAGUAGGGAAUUUUCCGCAAUGAGCGAAAGCUCGACGGAGCGACACAGCGUGCAGGAUGAAGGUCUUCGGAUUGUAAACUGCUGUUGUAAGGGAAGAAAAAAUUUAAUAGGAAAUGAUUAAAUCUUGACAGUACCUUAUUAGAAAGUGACGGCUAACUAUGUG